CAGGGGCUGCGCUGUGAAGGUGUGCUGUCUGGAGCGGUUGCUAUUCCCUUGUAACCAAGAAGACAUAUGCCCAAGGAUGAAAAUCAGUGUAUGGAAGAUGCCAGAGCUCAAUCAGCUGCUGAACUAACCAACUCUGGAGAUUCCCUACCUCUGGACUUCUUGUUAAAAGAGUUACAAAGAGAAAGAGACAGAGCACGAGUGGAGGAGGGGCAGAAAGAGAUGGAGACACAGAAUCGCAAGCAGGCUCCAGACUCUGAGCUGUCAGCACAAAGACCCACAGGGGCUCAAAUUCAAGAACCAUGAGAUCAUGACCUGAGCAGAAGUCGGAUGCUUAACUAACUGAGCCACCCAGACACCCCUCAAAAUAAAGACAUAAAUAUUUUUUAAAAAUGUCACUCUAUCUUUUUCUGACAUGGCUCUUAUCCCUUCCACAAUGGUAGGCUGCUAUUGAUUGUUUUUGCUACUUGUUUGCCUGGUGAUGGAGUGCAGAGAAGUUCCUCCAAGUCAUUUCCAUUUCAUACUUGGAAGAUAACCCUCUGAUGGCUCUGAGGAAUGUUAACCUCUGGAGUAGCAGCUCUCAACAAAACAUGGUCCUGCUGAUGUUUCAUGCCUCUGUCGAAAAGGCAAGAACUGCAUUUUCCUCAGGAAAAAAAACAAACAAACGCUAUUCUUUUGAAGUUUGACAAAUUACAAGACAACAAGAUUUAGAGAGAAUUGAGAAGACAUAAGAUAGUCUUAUGUCUUCAUAAGCGUGUAACUGCUGGAGUAUUCUGGAGCAGUCAGCUGGGACAUCCAAUAACGAAACCUCUGCCUGCAGACCCCCUCCAUUCCAAAGAUUGGAAUCUACCUGUAAUAAUAAUGUAUUUUACCUCCACAUGCAGUUCUUAGCAUGAAAUUGUGAAUGUUUACAUUGUAAAAUUUCAUUUCUGACCAAGUCUGAGAUUUGUAAUCCUUCCUUCCCUGAGGACAUAAAUUGUCUGUUUUCUGAUAAGCUCCUUUAUUAUCUGUGCUUGACCCUCUCUCUUAUUACAUUGAAAAAUAAUAAAAAAUUUACGAUUACAGUGUACCACACACACAUACACAUGCUUACUGAGUCAUGCUCUUACUUCAGAUAAAAUGUGUACAAUGGCUGUGUAAAAUAUAAUGCAACAAGAUUAAAGCCAGAUCCGCUGACUGCAUUGUUAAGGUUUGCAUACCGAUGGGAAAGAAAGAAAAUUAAAACCAGUUUUUUGGAGGACAUGGUAUAGAUAGG